rnacentral:lncRNA from 1 species
GAUCUACAGGCUUUGCUGGAGUGAUUCCCACUCCUACCACUUCCAGAGAUGGGUCUGUUCUGAUAAAUGUGUUUCUCUUCCAGGAGGCGGCAGAUAAUCUUGCAGCAACGCUGGGAGUACAGUGUUCAUUUGCUGCACAAGCACAUGGAUAAUCAACAUUUGAAGUUUAGCAUUGUAACGUAUCUUUCUCGAUUUCUAAUUGUAAUGGAACAUUGAUAAUGGAGUUACGGUGGUGUAGAGCUAUUUUGAGUUAGCUUUUUUGGCAAAUCUUUCCAUUAACAUCUCUGUCCACUCCACAAUGGUUCCUGACUCCAUAACUGCAGUAUCAUCACCAUCAUAACCAACAGUUUCCUGUGUGUCGACAGCUGAUACGACUUCUGUGGCAUCGUCAUUUCCAUUACGCAUGUUACACCAGAAAUUCAAUACAUAUGUUCUUUUCAAGUAUCUAUCGCUGUUGUAUCAGUCUGUGCUUCAAGCCAAGAUCACGGCAACAGGCCAGCCUAAGUAACGCAGAUUCUCAGGGACUUUCACAAACAAGUACACGAAACCUACGACACAAGUACUUCAAAAUGAACUAGCAAUUUUGCUAAGAUUGCAAACAUUAUUAUAUCAAGAAUAAUUGACAGGCGAAUAUGACAAUUUUCGAAUAUUUACAAAUCUUCUAUAGAGGAAUGACUUUUGUUGGUCUCCUUGAACAUGAGAAGAGGUCUUUUAGUCUUUCGUUUUAGAUGCCCUAGAGCCUGUUAGCACCUUGAAGAGCUGUGUGAGCACCUUAAGAAACGGGUCUGCAUGGUCACUGUCUGGUUUUUAUUCAACCAGUCCAAAAUAUGCUCAUUCACCAUCAAUCUAUCAGUUCCUCGAAGGGCAAGAGCAGAGAUGAAAGGUGCAGUACCACUGGCAUCUUGCACGAGGCAAAGCGACGUUUCGUUCCUAUCCCCAAUCUGGAAUGUCACCUCUCGUAGAACUGUAUCUUAUACACUUAAUAUUUAGACAUUCUCGAAUAUUGUAGAAUCCAAGACUAACUGGAAGCUCGGCAGAGUCAUGGAGUUGUCGCAGCUUCCGUGGUAGAAUCAUGCUCUCAUACUGUAAACUUGCCUUGGAUUUUCGGGAAUUGUGAAGCAAUUCUUGGCACGAGAUUCACCACUGAAGUAGCGAAGAGUCUGCAUCUCUGACCAGAGGACUUUCAGGUUGCUCCCGAUUUUUCCAGUUGACACGAAAGCAUUAUGUGGAGACCAUAUUAU